rnacentral:rRNA from 1 species
GACGAACGCUGGCGGCGUGCUUAACACAUGCAAGUCGAACGGAAAGGCCCUGCUUUUGUGGGGUGCUCGAGUGGCGAACGGGUGAGUAACACGUGAGUAACCUGCCCUUGACUUUGGGAUAACUUCAGGAAACUGGGGCUAAUACCGGAUAGGAGCUCCUGCUGCAUGGUGGGGGUUGGAAAGUUUCGGCGGUUGGGGAUGGACUCGCGGCUUAUCAGCUUGUUGGUGGGGUAGUGGCUUACCAAGGCUUUGACGGGUAGCCGGCCUGAGAGGGUGACCGGCAACAUUGGGACUGAGAUACGGCCCAGCCUCCUCCGGGAGGCAGCAGUGGGGAAAAUUGCACAAUGGGCGGAAGCCUGAUGCAGCAACGCCGCGUGCGGGAUGACGGCCUUCGGGUUGUAAACCGCUUUCGCCUGUGACGAAGCGUGAGUGACGGUAAUGGGUAAAGAAGCACCGGCUAACUACGUG